rnacentral:rRNA from 1 species
CCUACGGGGGGCAGCAGUGGGGAAUAUUGGACAAUGGGCGAAAGCCUGAUCCAGCCAUGCCGCGUGUGUGAAGAAGGCCUUCGGGUUGUAAAGCACUUUCAGUGGGGAAGAAAGCCUUGGGGUUAAUACCCUCGAGGAAGGACAUCACCCACAGAAGAAGCACCGGCUAACUCCGUGCCAGCAGCCGCGGUAAUACGGAGGGUGCGAGCGUUAAUCGGAAUUACUGGGCGUAAAGCGCGCGUAGGCGGUCUGAUAAGCCGGUUGUGAAAGCCCCGGGCUCAACCUGGGAACGGCAUCCGGAACUGUCAGGCUAGAGUGCAGGAGAGGAAGGUAGAAUUCCCGGUGUAGCGGUGAAAUGCGUAGAGAUCGGGAGGAAUACCAGUGGCGAAGGCGGCCUUCUGGACUGACACUGACGCUGAGGUGCGAAAGCGUGGGUAGCAAACAGGAUUAGAUACCCCAGUAGUC